AAGUGCUACAGCUUUUUUUCACAAUUUGUCUAGCAGGUUUUCCAGUUUUUACUAGAAGAUCCUC